CUUAACACAUGCAAGUCGAGGGACCGGCGCACGGGUGAGUAACACGUAUCCAACCUGCCCUUUACUCGGGGAUAGCCUUUCGAAAGAAAGAUUAAUACCCGAUGUAAAGGAUGGGGAUGCGUUCCAUUAGGUUGUUGGUGAGGUCACGGCUCACCAAGCCUUCGAUGGAUAGGGGUUCUGAGAGGAAGGUCCCCCACAUUGGAACUGAGACACGGUCCAAACUCCUACGGGAGGCAGCAGUGAGGAAUAUUGGUCAAUGGGCGCUAGCCCGAACCAGCCAAGUAGCGUGAAGGAUGAAGGCUUAUGGGUCGUAAACUUCUUUUAUAUAAGAAUAUGUAUUAUAUGAAUAAGGAUCGGCUAACUCCGUGCCAGCAGCCGCGGUAAUACGGAGGAUCCGAGCGUUAUCCGGAUUUAUUGGGUUUAAAGGGAGCGUAGGUGGACUGGUAAGUCAGUUGUGAAAGUUUGCGGCUCAACCGUAAAAUUGCAGUUGAUACUGUCAGUCUUGAGUACAGUAGA
rnacentral:rRNA from 1 species